rnacentral:rRNA from 1 species
GCCCCAGUACGGCGAGUGAAGCGGCAACAGCUCAAAUUUGAAAUCUGGCCCCCAGGGUCCGAGUUGUAAUUUGCAGAGGAUGAUUUUGGCGAGGUGCCUUCCGAGUUCCCUGGAACGGGACGCCACAGAGGGUGAGAGCCCCGUCUGGUUGGACGCCGAGCCUAUGUAAAUCUCCUUCGACGAGUCGAGUAGUUUGGGAAUGCUGCUCUAAAUGGGAGGUAUAUGUCUUCUAAAGCUAAAUAUUGGCCAGAGACCGAUAGCGCACAAGUAGAGUGAUCGAAAGAUGAAAAGCACUUUGAAAAGAGGGUUAAAUAGUACGUGAAAUUGUUGAAAGGGAAGCGCUCAUGACCAGACUUGGGCCCGGUGAAUCAUCCAGCGUUCUCGCUGGUGCACUUUGCCGGGCUCAGGCCAGCAUCAGUUUGCCCCGGGGGAUAAAGGCUUUGGGAAUGUGGCUCCUCCGGGAGUGUUAUAGCCCAUUGCAUAAUAUCCUGGGGCGGACUGAGGUUCGCGCAUCUGCAAGGAUGCUGGCGUAAUGGUCAUCAGCGACCCGUCUUGAAACACGGACCAAGGAGUCGUCUUCGUAUGCGAGUGUUCGGGUGUAAAACCCCUACGCGUAAUGAAAGUGAACGCAGGUGAGAGCUUCGGCGCAUCAUCGACCGAUCCUGAUGUUCUCGGAUGGAUUUGAGUAAGAGCAUACGGGGCCGGACCCGAAAGAAGGUGAACUAUGCCUGUAUAGGGUGAAGCCAGAGGAAACUCUGGUGGAGGCUCGCAGCGGUUCUGACGUGCAAAUCGAUCGUCAAAUAUGGGCAUGGGGCGAAAGACUAAUCG